UUUGGCCUCAAUUCCGUAGUGCAUUGCAUGUGGAAUAUUUGAGUCAGUGCAAGCAGUGCGGACUUGAGGCGAAGGU
rnacentral:pre_miRNA from 1 species